GUUCAUCACUUGAGAAAACGUUUAACAAAAAAUUAAAACUUCAAAAAUGAAACUGAUCGCUGUUAUCUUGGGUGUCAUGUUGGUUUCGCUUCCCUACAUUUCGGCCUGUUCUCAAGGUUGGGCCAGUGACGGCGUUGCCGCUGCAAAUAGAAUGAAACAAAGAAGACAACAGGGCUGUUAAGGCUGCCAAAAGGGUCACUUUGAAUGGAUUCCGACAAAAAAUAAACCAUGAAAUCAAUCGAAGCAAUUUAAUAAAAUAGAUAAUCUGAAAAGUUA
rnacentral:sRNA from 1 species